UGAUUGCUGAAGAGUCCCACAAUGGGACGAAACGGCCGUCCAAUAC
rnacentral:hammerhead_ribozyme from 1 species